UGGUUUAAGCUAGUUGGAUUUGGAUAU
rnacentral:piRNA from 1 species